CUAAUAAACUAUUUUGAGUCGGCUGUUGUAGCUUUUAUUUAGUACUUGCUGCUAGGUUGUGUUAAAUCUUCUCUUGGCCAGCAAGAGAUAGGUACUUGUGUAAUCAAAGAGUUCUUCGUAUUUGAUUUGUUCCUGUGGUAGUUUAUGUUCAUGGUAUGCUGGUUCACUCGCAUGAUAUUCGUUUUAUUAUGUGGUAUAUACUUUAGUUUUUUGUGCCGUGUAUAAUGAUCAACCUUGUGUUGACGCCUAGCUUUCGUAGAGAAUACAAAAAACCUGCCUGACACAAUAGGACUGAAAAUCAUUUCUCUUGUUUGUUUGGGAAUACUGGACACGAAGUUUAACUCAUCAGCUUGUCCGCAAAUCAUAUUGUGAGUGAGUCCAUUUGGACAACAGGUAAAUAGUUCAUCGCUAUAUUUAGUCUGAUUCAAUCAACACGUCUAGUUCUAAUUUAGACGUGCAUCAGGUUUUCACCAGGGCAUUAUAACUUGACCUAGCACAUUAGUAGCAUAAUUUAGCAACUACUCCCUCUGCUCCAAAAUUAUUGUGGUGUUUUUGAAGUAAACCAAGACAAUAAUUUUGGAACGGAGGAUAAGGGUGUGUAUAAUGAUGCUAUCUUAGCUCCAUGUGGAAUAAAUUUUAAGGUGGAGGAGGGAGGUGUUUGAAGUACAUGUGAAAUAAAUUUUAAGGUGGAGGAGGGAGGUGUUUGAAGUAGAACGAGAGACAAGAUAAAAGAUGUAAAGUGAAUCGUUGUCUUUAUUGAUGAUUGAGUAUAAUUAUAUAUAGCCUUGUGGGGAUACAUUCAACAGACGCGAUGGUCCGAAGAGACAUGAUCCAUGCAUGUCGGUUAGGGAUACUGGAGAUUCUCUUAAAUUAACAUAUGGGUCAAUUAAAUCUCAACAAUUUCCCUAAUCUACGCUAUUCAUCUUAAAAGCUCCUUCAAAAUCCUAUGAAAAAAAUAUGAGGAGUAUAAUAUUUGAUAUGUUACCAAAACUCUUUCAAACCCAGUGGGAUAAAUAAGGAGAAAAUGCUGUAAAAUAUAAUAGUUGUUGUCUUCCUUAACUCAAUAUGUAUGAACCAUAGAGUUUAGAGGACAAUAAAUAUAUCAUAUAUACUUUUCUAAAAACGGGAAAACAAAAAGUAGGACAUAUGAUCUUACGUUGAUAUUACCUCAUUAAAAACCCUGAUAAGAACUUGUAUAGUAACUUAUGAAGGAAAAAAAGUAUAACAUGAUGCAUUAAACAAGAAUAAUUCAGGAAGAUACUUCCCUUGAUUCUUGCAAAUUUCAAAGCCGUCACAUCCAAUUUCAUGAACAUAUUUCUGAAAUAUAAAAGUUAAUGGAGACUUCGUGAGAAAACCAGUCACAUGAUUUGAUUUACAAGAUAUGCAUAUAGCGAUGUUGCUUAUUACGUAACCUGUUUGCAUCCGGGCAACACAAAAAAUAUUAUCAUUGAGAUAAUGGUUGGUGGAUGUAGCCAUGAGGUCUGUUUCAAAGACUCUUCAUGAGAGAGCUACCACACCUAGUAGGAACACUAAGCUUCUCUAUGAUUUGACAUAACGGGGAUCUGAUGAAUGUAUUCAAUGAUAUUGGUGUUCAGAUUUCUCUGAAACUUGAAAAAUCAGGACAAGAUGUUUGGUGCCUUUGAAGAUAUCGAUAGAAUACCAUAAUGUAUGAAUGAAGGUGGUCAAGGCGUAGUAACAAGCGGUAUUUUGGUUUACCCAAUUCUUCAUUUUAAACUCCAUCAUUUAGAUGAUUACAUGUGUCGUCAUUGCAGACACACAAACAUGGGUAAUCAUCAUUGUAGGAGUAAUCCUCGUGUAUAAAGAACUCACUACGUCGGUUCUACCAUUUGUACCGACAACAAUAAGUCGUAUGGUGACUUACCAAUUUUUUACACAAUGUAUUGUUGGAAAUAUGCCCUAGAGGAAAUAAUACAAUAGUUAUUAUUAUAUUUCCUGUUUCAAGAUAAUCGUCUAUUAUCCAUGCUAGAAUUUUAUUGAAUGUAACACAAAUACAUGUGUGGAUAUAUAGACAAAACAAUGUCCCUAGUGAGCCUCUAGUUGACUAGCUUGUUGAUCAAGAUGGUUAAGAUUUCCUAACCAUAGACAAGUGUUGUCAUUUGAUAACGGGAUCACAUCAUUAGGAGAAUGAUGUCAUGGACAAGACCCGAACUAUAAACGUAGCAUGUGAUCGUGUUAUUUUGUUGCUAUUGUUUUCUACAUGUCAAGUAUACAUUCCUAUGACCAUGAGAUUAUGUAACUCACUGACACCGUAUGAAUGCCUUGUGUGUAUCAAACGUCACAAUGUAACCUCAUGACUAUAAAGGUGCUCUACAGGUAUCUCCGAAGGUGUACGUUGAGUUAGCAUGGAUCAAGACUGCGAUUUUCCACUCAGUAUGAUGGAGAGGUAUCUUGGGGCCCACUAGGUAAUACAACAUCACAAACAAGCCUUGCAAGCAAUGUGACUAAAGAGUUAGCCACGUGAUCUUGUAUUACGGAACGAGUAAAUAGACUUGCCGGUAACAAGAUUGAAAUAGGUAUGGAGAUACCGACAAUCGAAUCUCGGGCAAGUAGCAUACCGAAGGACAAAGGGAAUGAUAUACGGGAUUAACUGAAUCCUUGACAUAGAGGUUCAACCGAUAAGAUCUUCGUAGAAUAUGUAGGAUCCAAUAUGGGCAUCCAGGUCCCGCUAUUGGGUAUUGACCGAAGAGUGUCUCGGUCAUGUCUACAUAGUUCUUGAACCCGCAGUGUCUGCACACUUAAGGUUCGGUGACGUUUCGGUAUAGUUGAAUUAUUGAUGUUGGUAACCGAAGGUUGUUCGGAGUCCCGAAUGAGAUCCAUGACGUCACAAGGGUUUCCGAAAUGGUCCGGAGACGAAGAUUGCUAUAUAGGAAGUAUCCAUUUGGCUUCCGGAAGGUUUUCGGGCAUUACUGGUAAAGUACCAGGAGUGACGAAUGGGUUCCGGAGUUCCACCGGGAGGGGCAACCCGCCCAGGAGAGAACCAAAAAGGCCCAAGGGUGGUGCACCAGCCCUUAGUGGGCUAGUGUCCUGUUGGGGAAUGUUGCAUGGGAAACAAAAAAUUUCCUACGCACAUGCAAUACCUGUCCAUGGUGAUGAUCAUCUACGGGAGGGGAGAGUGAAUCUACAUACCCUUGUAGAUCGCUAAGCGGAAGCGUAUAUAACGCGGUUGAUGUAGUGGAACAUCUUCGCGAUCCAAAUCGCAGCCCGUCCCGCGAUCUCAUCACGAUCCGUCCCACGAUCCCAUCCCGAUCUAGUGCCGAACGAACGACACCUCCGCAUUCAGCACACGUACAGCUCGAUGACGAUCCCGGCCUUCUUGAUCCAGCAAGAGGGGAGGAGAGGUGGAUGAGUUGUCCAACACAGCGGCAUGGUGGUGGUUGUUGUGGAUCUAUUCCAGUAGGGCUUCGCCUAAGCGCUGCUGAAAAACCGAUCUAGAGGAAGAACAAAUCUAGAGAGAAGUAGAGGGAGCACGUGGCAAUUAGGGUUAUCCCUCAUCUCUAAAACCUCUAGUAUAUAUAGGAGGGAGGUAAGGGAGGAGGCAGCCUCAAACCCUCAAGAUUUGGCCGAAAUUAGAGGUGGAAGAGUCCUACUCCAAUCCUACUAGGAGUAGGAUUCCUCCUCUCCACUUGGAAACCCUUUCCACCUUUUCCACCUUUGGGUUUCUUUCCUUCCCACCUCCAAUUCGCCUUGGGCUUUAGUGAAGGCUUCGGCCAUCCCACUAAGGGCUGGUCCACGUCCUACCACAGCCCAUGAGACCCUUUGGGGUGGGUGGGCCCACCUGGUGGACCCCCGGAACACAUUCGUCACUCCCGGUACACUAUCGGAAAUGUCUGAAACUUUUCCGGAGUUCAAAAACCACUUUCCUAUAUAUCAAUCUUUACCUCCGGACCAUCACGGAGCUCCUCGUGACGUCCAGGAUCUCAUCCGGGACUCCGAACAACAUUCGGUUACCAACACCUAUAACUCAACUAUGCUGAAAACGUCACCGAACCUUAAGUGUGUAGACCCCACGGGUUCGAGAACUAUGCAAACAUGACCUGAGACACUCCCCGGUCAAUAACCAAUAGCGGGACCUAGAUGUCCAUAUUGGAUCCUACAUAGUUUAAGAAGAUCCCUAUCGGUUGAACCUCUAUGUCAAGGAUUCAGUUAAUCCCGUAUGAUGUUCCCUUUGUCCUUCGGUAUGUUACUUGCCCGGGAUUCGAUCGUCGGUAUCUCCAUACUUAGUUCAAUCCCGUUACCGGCAAAUCUCUUUACUCAUUCCGUAAUACAAGAUCCCGUGACUAACUUCUUAGUCACAUUGCUUGCAAGGCUUAUUGUGAUGUUGUAUUACCGAGUGGGCCCUGAGAUACAUCUCUGUCACACUGACAAAUCCCAGUCUUGAUCCAUGCCAACCCAACAGACACCAUUGGAGAUACCUGUAGAGAACCUUUAUCGUCACCCAGUAACGUUGCGACGUUUGAUACACACAAGGUAUUCCUCCGGUGUCCGGGAGUUGCAUCAUCUCAUGGUCAUAGGAACAGAUACAUUGACAUGCAGAAAAUAGUAGCAGUAAACUGACACGAUCAUAUGCUACGUUUAUAGUUUGGGUCUUGUCCAUCACAUCAUUCUUCUAAUGAUGUGAUCCUGUUAUCAAGUGACACCACUUGUUGUUCAUCUUUGAUCAACAAGCUAGUCAACUAGAGGCUAACUAGGUAUAAUAUGUUGUCUAUGUAUCCACACAUGUAUUUGAGCUUCCAAUCAAUACAAUUCCAGCAUGGAUAAUAAACGAUUAUCAUGAACAAGGAAAUAUAAUAAUAAUCAAUUUAUUAUUGCCUCUAGGGCAUAUUUCCAACAGUCUCCCACUUGCACUAGCGUCAAUAAUCUAGUUCACAUCACUAUGUGAUUGCAAUGAAUCUAACACCCAUACAGUUCUGGGGUUCGAUCAUGUCUUGCUUGUGAGAGAGGUUUUUAGUCAAUAGAUCUGAACCUUUCAGAUCCAUGUGUGCUUUACAAAUCUCUAUGCCAUCCUAUAUAUGCUGCUACUACGCGCCAUUUGGAAUUAUUCCAAAUGACUGCUCCACUAUACGAAUCUGAUUUACUACUCAGAGUCAUCCGGAUUAGUGUCAAAGCUUGAAUCGACGUAACUCUUUACGAUGAACUCUUCAAUCACCUCCAUAAUCGAGAAAAUUCCUUACUCCACUAGUUAUUAAGGAUAACUUUUGACCGUUGUCCAGUACCAUUCCUGGAUCACUUUUGUACCCCUUGACAGAUUCAUGGCAAGGCACACAUCAGGUGCGGUACACAGCAUAACAUACUAUAGAGCCUACGGCUAAUGCAUAGGGGACGACCUUCGUCCUUUCUCUUUCUUCUGCCGUGGUCGAGCUUUGAGUCUUACUAAAAUUGACACCCUACAACACAGCCAAGAACUCCUUCUUUGCCAAUCUAUUUUGAACUCCUUCAAAAACUUGUCAAGGCAUGCAUUUCGUUGAAAGUUCUAUUAAGCGCUUUGAUUUAUCUCCAUAGAUCUUGAUACUCAAUGUUCAAGUAGCUUAAUCCAGGCUUUCCUUUGAAAAACUCCUUUCAAACAACCCUUUAUGCUUUCUAGAAAUUCUACAUUAUUUCCGAUCAACAAUAUGUCAACCACAUAUACUCAUAAGAAAUUCUAUAGUGCUCCCACUCACUUCUUUGGAAAUACAAGUUUCUCACAAACCUUGUAUAAACCCCAAAACUUUGAUCAUCUCAUCAAAGCGUAUAUUCCAACUCCGAGAUGCUUGAUCCGUUCCAUAGAAGGAUCACUGGAGCUUGCAUACAUGUUAGCGUCCUUAGGAACGACAAAACCUUCUGGUUGUAUCACAUACAACCUUUCCUCAAGGAAACCGUUGAGGAACCAAUGUUUUGACAUCCUAUGUGCAAUAUUUCAUAAAUAAUGCACCAACUGCUAACAUACUUCCAACAGACUUUUAGCAUCGCUACAAGUGAGAAAGUCUCAUCAUUGUCAACUCUUUGAACUUGUCGGAAACAUCUUUGCGACAAGUCGAGCUUUCUUAAUGGUGACUUUUCACCAUCAUCGUCUGUCUUCCUUUUCAAGAUCCAUCUGUACUUAAUAGUCUUACGACCAUCAAGUAGUUCUUCCAAAGUCUACACUUUGUUUUCAUACAUGGAUCCUCUCUCAGAUUUCAUGGCCUCCAGCCAUUUGCCAGAAUCCGGGACCACGAUCGCUUCUCCAUAGCUCGUUGGUUCAUUGUUGUCCAACAACAUGACCUCCAAGACAGGGUUACCAUAUCACUAUCAUCAGCUUCCACUUCAAUUGGUGUAGGCGCCACAGGAACAACUUCAUGCGCCCUGCUACACACUUGUUGAAGUGACGGUUCAAUAACCUCAUCAAGUUUCACCAUCCUUUCUUUCGAGAGAAACUUUUCCUCGAGAAAGGGACCGUUUCUAGAAACAAACACUUUGCUUCCGAAUCUGAGAUAGGAGGUAUAGCCAACUGUUUUUGGGUGUCCCAUGAAGAUGCAUUUAUCCGCUUUGGGUUCGAUCUUAUCAUGCCAAAACUUUUUCACAUAAGCAUCGCAGCCCCAAACUUUUAAGAAACGAUAACUUAGGUUUCUCCAAACCAUAGUUCAUACGGUGUCAUCUCAACGGAAUUACAUGGUGCCCUAUUCAAAGUGAAAGCGGUUGUCUCAAAAGCCUAACCCAUAAAUGAUAGUAAUAAUUCGAUAAGAGACAUCAUAGUAUGCACUAUAUCAAAUAGGGCGCGGCUAUGACGUUCGGACACACCAUCACACUAUGGUGUUCCAGGCGGCAUGAGAUGUGAAACAGUUUUCACAUUGUCUUAAUUGUGUACCAAACUCACAACUCAGAUAUUCAUCUCUAUGAUCAUAUCGUAGACAUUUUAUCCUCUUGUCACGACGAUCUUCAACUUCACUCUGAAAUUACUUGAACCUUUCAAUAAUUCAGACGUGUGUUUCAUCAAGUAAAUAUACUAGUAUCUACUCAAAUCAUCUGUGAAGUAAGAACAUAACAAUAUCCACUGCGUGCCUCAACACUCAUUGGACUGCACACAUCAAAAUGUAUUACUUCCAACAAGUUACUUUCUUGUUCCAUCUCACUGGAAAACGAUACCUUCAGUCAUCUUUCCCAUGUGGUAUGAUUUGCAUGUCUCAAAUGAUUCAAAAAUCAAGUGAGUCCAAACGAUCCAUCUGCAUAGAGUUUCCUAAUGCGUUUAUACCAAUAUGACUCAAGUGGGAGUGCCACAAGUAAGUGGUACUAUCAUUACUACUUUAUAUCUUUUGGCAUUAAUAUUAUGAACAUGUGUAUCACUACGAUCGAGAUUCAAUAAACCAUUCAUUUUAGGUGCAAGAUCAUUGAAGAUAUUAUUCAAACAAAUAGAGUAACCAUUAUUCUCUUUAAAUGAAUAACCGUAUUGCGAUAAAUACAAUCUAAUCAUGUUUAUGCUCAACGCAAACACCAAAUAACAAUUAUUAGGUUUAACACUAAUCCCGAUGGUAGAGGGAGCAUGCGAUGUUUGAUCACAUCAACCUUGGAAACACUUCCAACACAUAUCGUCACCUUGCCUUUAGCUAGUCUCCGUUUAUUCCAUAGCUUUUAUUUUGAGUCACUAACACUUAGCAACCGAACCGGUAUCUAAUACCCUGGUGCUACUAGGAGUACUAGUAAAGUACACAUCAAUAUCACGUAUAUCCAAUAUACUUUUGUCGACUUUGCCAUCCUUCUCAUCUACCAAGUAUCUAGGGUAGUUCUGCUUCAGUGACCGUUCCCCUCAUUACAGAAGCAAUUAGUCUCGGGUUUGGGUUCAACCUUGGGGUUUCUUCACUAGAGCAGCAACUGGUUUCUUGUUUCAUGAAGUAUCCUUUUUGCCCUUGCCCUUCUUGAAACUAGUGAUUUUACUAACCAUCAACAAUUGAUGCUCCUACUUGAUUUCUACUUUCGCGGUGUCAAACAUCGCGAAUAGCUCAAGGAUCAUCAUAUCUAUCCUUGAUAUGUUAUAGUUCAUCACGAAGCUCUAGUAGCUUGGUGGCAGUGACUUUGGACAACCAUCACUUUCUUAUCUGGGAGAUCAACUCCCACUCGAUUCAAGCGAUUGUAGCACUUAGACAAUCCGAGCACAUGCUCAACGAUUGAGCUUUUCUCCCUUACUUUGUAGACAAAUAAUCUUGUCGGAGGUCUCAUACCCCUUAACAAGGCACGAGCAUGAAAUCCUAAUUUCAUCUCUUGGAACAUCUCAUAUGUUCUGUGCCGUUCAAAACGUCUUCGGCGCCUUAAUUCUAAGCCGUCAAGCAUUACGCAGUGAACUAUCACGUAGUCAUAAAAAACGUGUAUGUCAGAUGUUCGCAACAUCCACAGACGACGCUCGAGGUUGAACACACCGAGCGGUGCAUUAAGGACAUAAGCCUUCUACGCAGCAACGAGGACAAUCCUUAGUUUACGGACCCAGUCCGCAUAAUUGAUACUAUCAACUUUCAACUAAAUUUUCUCUAGGAACAUAUCUAAAACAGUAGGGCUACAGCGCAAGCUACAAUAUAAUUUGCAAAUACCUUUUGAUUAUGUUCAUGAUAAUGAGUUCAAUUAAUCAUAUUACAUAAGAACUCCCACUCAAAUAGACAUCCCUCCAGUCACUGGAGUGGCGCAUGAUCCAAAUCCACUAACUCAAGUCCGAUCAUCACGUGAGUUGAGAUUAGUUUCAUUGGUGAACAUCUCCAUGUUGAUCAUAUCAACUAUAUGAUUCAUGCUCGACCUUUCGGUCUCUUGUGUUCCGAGGCCAUGUCUUUACAUGCUAGGCUCGUCAAGUUUAACCCGAGUGUUCCAUGUGUGCAACUGUUUUGCACCCGUUCUAUGUGAACAUUGAGUCUAUCACACCCGAUCAUCACGUGGUGUCUCGGAACGACGAACUAUCGCAAUGGUGCACAGUCGGGGAGAACACAAUUUUAUCUUGAAAUUUUAGUGAGGGAUCACCUUAUAAUGCUACCGUCAUUCUAAGCAAAAUAAGGUGCAUAAAAGGAUUAAUAUCACAUGCAAAUCAUAAGUGACAUGAUAUGGCAAUGAUCUUGUGCUUCUUGAUCUCCAUCACCAAAGCACCGACAUGAUCUCCAUCAUCACCGGCGCCGCACCAUGAUCUCCAUCAUCAUGCGUCCAUCGAGGUUGCCGCGCUGUCUAUGCUAUUACUGUUGGGUAACGUAGUAAAUUCAAAAAAUUUCCUACGUCAUACAAGGAUCUAUCUAUGGAGAGACCAACAACGAGAGAGGUUGUAGAGCAUCUUCAUGCCUUUGAAGAUCGCUAAGCGGAAGCAUUACUAUGAACGCGGUCGAUGGAGUCGUACUCGCAGCGAUUCAGAUCACGGUCGGUUCCGAUCUAUGUGCCGAAUCACGACACCUCCGCGUUCAACACACGUACAACCCGGUGACAGUCUCCCGCGCCUUGAUCCAGCAAGGAGGAGCGAGAGGUUGAGGGAGUGCUCCGGCAUCACGACAGCGUGGUGGCGGUGGAGCUAUGAGGUCUCCUGGCAGGUCUUCUCCAAGCACCGUGGAAGAGGAGAAAGAGGAUAAGCAGGGCUGCACCGAGAGAGAGAUUUCGUGUGUCUCAAAUCAGCCAAAACCUUCACUAUAUAUAGGGGGAGAGGGAGGGGGGCGCCUCCUUUAGGAUUCCCAGCCCCAAAGGGUGCGGCAGCCCCAUCUAGGGCUGGUAGUGGCGGCCAGGGUAAGAGAGAGGGGGUGGCGCACCCCAAACGGGCCUUAGGCCCAUCUGCACUAGGGUUUCCCCCUUCCCUUUCUUGUGGCGCCUUGGGCCUAGGUGGGAGGCGCACCAGCCCACUCUGGGCUGGUUCCCUUCCACCUUUUGGCCCAUGCUAGCCUUCGGGGCUGGUGGCCCCUCCAGGUGGACCCCCGAAACCCUUUCGGUGGUCGCGGUACAUUACCGGUGUCUCGCGAAACAAUUCCGGCGACCACAUCCUCACUUCCUAUAUAUAAUUCUUUACCUCCGGACUAUUCUGGAGCUCCUUGUGACGUCCGGGAUAUCAUCUGGGACUUCGAACAACCUUCGGUAACCUCGUAUAACAAUUCCCUAUAACCCUAGCGUCAUCGAACCUUAAGUGUGUAGACCCUACGGGUUCGGGAGGCAUGCAGACAUGACCGAGACACCUCUCCCGCCAAUAACCAUCAGCGGGGUCUGGAUACCCAUGGUGGAUCCUGCAUGUUCCACGAUGAUCUCAUCGGAUGAACCACGAUGUCAAGGAUUCAAUCAAUCCCGUAUACAAUUCCCUUUGUCUACCGGUAUAGAACUUGCCCGAGAUUCGAUCAUCGGUAUUCCUAUACCUUGUUCAAUCUCGUUACCGGCAAGUCUCUUUACUCGUUCCGUAGCACAUCAUCCCGUGACUAACUCCUUAGUCACAUUGACCUCAUUAUGAUGAUGUUCUACCGAGUGGGCCCAGAGAUACCUCUCCGUCAUAUAGAGUGACAAAUCCCGAUCUCUAUUCGUACCAACUCAAUAGUACUUUCGGAGAUACCCAUAGUGCACCUUUAUAGUCACCGAGUUACAUUGUGACGUUUGAUACACCCAAAGCACUCCUACGGUAUCUGGGAGUUGCACAAUCUCACGGUCGAAGGAAAAGUUACUUGACAUUAGAAAAGCUUUAGCAUACGAACAACACGAUCUUGUUCUAUGCUUACGAUUGGGUCUUGUCCAUCACAUCAUUCUCCUAAUGAUGUGAUCCCAUUAUCAAUGACAUACAAUGUCCAUGAUCAGGAAACCAUGAUCAUCUAUUGAUCAACGAGCUAGCCAACUAGAGGCUUGCUAGGGACACAUUGUGAUAUAUUUAUCCACACAUGCAUUACUGUUUCCUGUUAAUACAAUUAUAGCAUGAACAAUAGAUGAUUAUCAUGAACAAGGAAAUAUGAUAAUAAUCAUUUUAUUAUUGCCUCUAGGGCAUAUUUCCAACAGUCUCCCACUUGCACUAGAGUCAAUAAUCUAGUUCACANNNNNNNNNNNNNNNNNNNNNNNNNNNNNNNNNNNNNNNNNNNNNNNNNNNNNNNNNNNNNNNNNNNNNNNNNNNNNNNNNNNNNNNNNNNNNNNNNNNNGCAACUCGAAGCAGGAACUGCGGAAUAGACGAAGGCUGGCGAAAGACGAAGUGACGAUGCGCGUAGGAAAUGGUUCCAAGGUUGAUGCAAUCGCCGUCGGCACAGUGUCACUUCAGCUACCAUCGGGAUUAGUGAUGAACUUAAAUCAUUGUUAUUUAGUGCCUGCGUUGAGCAUGAACAUUAUAUCUGGAUCUUGUUUAUUGCGAGACGGUUACUCUUUUAAGUCUGAGAAUAAUGGUUGUUCUAUUUCUAUGAGUAACAUCUUUUAUGGUCAUGCACCGAAUGUGAGAGGAUUGUUCAUAUUGAAUCUUGAUAGCGAUAUGCAUAUACAUAACAUUGAGACCAAAAGAGUUAGAGUAAACAAUGAUAGCGCCAUAUUUUUGUGGCACUGCCGCUUGGGUCAUAUUGGUGUAAAGCGCAUGAAGAAACUCCAUGCUGAUGGACUUUUGGAGUCACUUGACUUUGAUUCACUUGACACGUGCGAACCAUGCCUCAUGGGCAAGAUGACUAAGACUCCGUUCUCCGGAACAAUGGAGCGUGCAAGUGACUUGUUGGAAAUCAUACAUACCGAUGUGUGUGGUCCAAUGAGCGUAGAGGCACGCGGCGGAUAUUGUUAUUUUCUCACCUUCACUGACGAUUUAAGUAGAUAUGGUUAUGUCUACUUGAUGAAGCACAAGUCUGAAACAUUUGAGAAGUUCAAGCAAUUUCAGAGUGAAGUGGAAAAUCAUCGUAACAAGAAGAUCAAGUUCCUACGGUCUGAUCGUGGGGGUGAAUAUCUGAGUUUCGAGUUUGGUGCUCACUUAAGACAAUGUGGAAUUGUUUCGCAGUUAACACCGCCUGGAACACCACAGCGUAAUGGUGUGUCCGAACGUCGUAAUCGUACUUUGUUAGAGAUGGUGCUAUCUAUGAUGUCUCUUACUGAUUUGCCGUUAUCAUUUUGGGGUUAUGCAUUAGAAACAGCUGCAUUCACUUUAAAUAGGGCACCAUCAAAAUCCGUUGAGACGACACCAUACGAACUGUGGUAUGGCAAAAGGCCAAAGUUGUCGUUUCUUAAAGUUUGGGGAUGUGAUUCUUAUGUCAAAAAGCUUCAGCCUGAAAAGCUGGAACCCAAAGCGGAAAAGUGCGUCUUCAUAGGUUACCCAAAAGAGACAGUUGGGUACACCUUCUAUCUCAAAUCCGAGGGCAAAGUGUUUGUUGCUAAAAACGGAGCUUUUCUCGAGAUGGAGUUUCUCUCGAGAGAAUUGAGUGGGAGGAAGAUAGAACUUGACGAGGUUGUCGAACCUCUCAUCCCUCUGGAUGGUGGCGCAGGGCAAGGGGAAACCUCUGUCGUUGCGACGCCGGUUGAGGAGGAAGUUAAUGAUGAUGAUCAUGAAACUCCAGUUCAAGUUUCUGUUGAACCNNNNNNNNNNNNNNNNNNNNNNNNNNNNNNNNNNNNNNNNNNNNNNNNNNNNNNNNNNNNNNNNNNNNNNNNNNNNNNNNNNNNNNNNNNNNNNNNNNNNUCCAGCAAGAGAGACGGAGAGGUAGAAGAGUUCUCCGGCAGCGUGACGGCGCUCCGGAGGUUGGUGAUGAUCUUGUCUCAGCAGGGCUCCGCCCGAGCUCCGCAGAAACACGAUCUAGAGGAAAAACUAUGGAGGUAUGUGGUCGGGCAGCCGUGAGAAAGUCGUCUCAAAUCUGCCCUAAAAGCCCCAUAUAUAUAGGAGGAGGGAGGGGGACCUUGCCUUGGGGUCCAAGGGACCCCAAGGGGGUCGGCCGAGCCAGGGGGGAGGACUCUCCCCCCCCCAAACCGAGUCCUACUUGGUUUGGUGGGAGGGAGUCCUUCCCCCUUCCCACUUCCUCCUUUUUUUUCUUUCUUCCUUUGAUUUUUGUUCCUUGGCGCAUAGGAUUUGGUGGGCUGUCCCACCAGCCCACUAAGGGCUGGUGUGACCCCCACAAAUACCUAUGGGCUUCCCCGGAGUGGGUUGCCCCCCUCCGGUGAACCCCCGGAACCCAUUCGUCAUUCCCGGUACAUUCCCGGUAACUCCGAAAACCUUCCGGUAAUCAAAUGAGGUNNNNNNNNNNNNNNNNNNNNNNNNNNNNNNNNNNNNNNNNNNNNNNNNNNNNNNNNNNNNNNNNNNNNNNNNNNNNNNNNNNNNNNNNNNNNNNNNNNNNAUGCUGUGCACUAGACCGGAUGUUAGCCUGGCCAUAAGUAUGGCAGGUAGGUUCCAGAGUAAUCCAGGAGUGGAUCACUGGACAGCGGUCAAGAAUAUCCUGAAGUACCUGAAAAGGACUAAGGAGAUGUUUCUCGUGUAUGGAGGUGACGAAGAGCUCGCCGUAAAAGGUUACGUCGAUGCAAGCUUUGACACAGAUCCGGACGACUGUAAGUCGCAAACCGGAUACGUAUUUAUUCUUAAUGGGGGUGCAGUAAGCUGGUGCAGUUCCAAGCAAAGCGUCGUAGCAGAUUCUACAUGUGAAGCGGAGUACAUGGCUGCCUCGGAGGCGGCUAAGGAGGGUGUCUGGAUGAAGCAGUUCAUGACGGAUCUUGGAGUGGUGCCAAGCGCACUGAAUCCAAUAACCUUGUUCUGUGACAACACUGGUGCCAUUGCCUUAGCAAAGGAACCACGGUUUCACAAGAAGAACAGACACAUGAAACGACGCUUCAACCUCAUCCGCGACUACGUCGAGGAAGAGGACGUGAAUAUAUGCAAAGUGCACACGGAUCUGAAUGUAGCAGACCCGCCGACUAAACCUCUUCCACGGCCAAAACAUGAUCGACACCAACUGUAUGGGUGUUAGAUUUAUUACAAUGUAAUUCACAUGGUGAUGUGAGGGCUAGAUUAUUGACUCUAGUGCAAGUGCGAGACUGUUGGAAUUAUGCCCUAGAGGCAAUAAUAAAUGUAUAGUUAUUAUUAUAAUUCCUGUAUCAAGANNNNNNNNNNNNNNNNNNNNNNNNNNNNNNNNNNNNNNNNNNNNNNNNNNNNNNNNNNNNNNNNNNNNNNNNNNNNNNNNNNNNNNNNNNNNNNNNNNNNACCUCAUUUGAUUACCGGAAGGUUUUCGGAGUUACCGGGAAUGUACCGGGAAUGACGAAUGGGUUCCGGGAGUUCACCGGGGGGGCAACCCACCCCGGGGAAGCCCAUAGGCCUUGGGGGAGACACACCAGCCCUUAGUGGGCUUGUGGGACAGCCCACAAGUGCUCUAUGCGCCAAGAGAAGAAAAAUCAAGAGGAAAAGAAAAAAAAAA
rnacentral:lncRNA from 1 species